GCACGUUCAUAAUACUAACAUAGUACAUAAUACAGUACCUUGUGACUUCACAUUAAAUGCUUGCCAAUACGACCGUGGUCACCCCAAUAAUCCCCGUUCAAAGUACAUAGCACAUUAAUAUCACUGGCGGUACAUACCACAUUAAGUCAUAAAUCUUUCUCGCUCCAAAUGACUAUCCCCUACCAACUUUGGUCCCAUAAUCUACCAUCCUCCGUGAAACCAUCUACUCGCCCACCACGUGUCCCUCUUCUUGCUCUGAUCCCAUUUAACUUGGGGGUAGCUAACUAUGUACUNCCACAAAGCCUAAAACAAAAAGUAUGCUUAACAAGUACGUAAUAUAUGUCAUUAUUUUUACAUGGAAUCUAACCAUGACCAAUGACAUGAAAAAUCAUCGUUGUUAUUCAACUAUAAAAACACUAAUGACAAACACCCGCAAA
rnacentral:lncRNA from 1 species